rnacentral:lncRNA from 1 species
ACGCGAACAAGCGACACGAAGUUCAACGAAAACUGCGCACUGAAACUAAAAUGCUUCAAAUUAACACAUCCGACGCUCACAGACCCUAAAUGAGGUGAGCACUGUGAUCAGCACUGACCAAAGAUCACCGUGCUCACCUCCGGAGGCAUCAGGACAGCCUCGGAUCGCCGGAACAACGCACGCAAACCAGAAACAGUAGCCAAAAAGGCACAAACGGAGCGACAUCGCCGAAAUAGCAGAUCGGGGCCUUCCCGACAGGAACCAAGGUGAGCACGGUGAUCAGCGAUGAGUCGCGAUCAUCGUGCUCCCUUCCGCAGAGGUCGGGAAGCCCUGAAAAGCACAGAACAUCAAACCCACUCAACUAAGCCCUAUUUCGGGCUUGGCUGGAGCAAGCUUGCUCCGGCCGGCUUCCGGC